rnacentral:rRNA from 1 species
AACGAACGCUGGCGGCAGGCUUAACACAUGCAAGUCGAACGGUGUAGCAAUACACAGUGGCAGACGGGUGAGGAACACGUGGGAACAUCCCUUUCGGUUCGGAAUAACGUUGGGAAACUAACGCUAAUACCGGAUACGUCCUUCGGGAGAAAGAUUUAUUGCCGAGAGAUUGGCCCGCGUCUGAUUAGCUAGUUGGUGAGGUAACGGCUCACCAAGGCUACGAUCAGUAGCUGAUCUGAGAGGAUGAUCAGCCACAUUGGGACUGAGACACGGCCCAAACUCCUACGGGAGGCAGCAGUGGGGAAUAUUGGACAAUGGGCGCAAGCCUGAUCCAGCCAUGCCGCGUGAGUGAUGAAGGCCUUCGGGUUGUAAAGCUCUUUUAUCCGGGAAGAUAUGACUGUACCGGAAGAAUAAGCCCCGGCAAACUUCGUGCCAGCCGCCGCGGUAAAAC